CAACGGUGUAUGUCGUGUGAGGAAAAUGUACGUUCAGAGAGACCCGAUCAAUUAUACAAGGAAAAAAAAGAAGAAAGAAAAGACACCACAAAAUUUAGAAGACCUCUCCCAGCGAUGGGGAAAACGGUAAACAAAAGACUAGAUCAAAGACUAAAGAGGACUCAGGACUCAGAGGUAGCGAGUGGUGUUACUCAGUGUGGGUGUUAAGACAUUUUUCAGGAAAUCUACGGAAAGUGGUGCUGUUAGCGGAUAGAGAAGUCAACUCAACGUCUUUUCUCCGAAGAUUUUGUGAAGCACGGACUCUAAACAGAAAUAUUGAAAUAUCAGGUGAAAGUAUAGACCAAAGACCUGCAUAAUCAAUUUUUGAUAACUUGCAUUGUUUUGUCUUUAAAAAUGAUAAUUAAACCUUUUAUGUAUACCACGGAGCGAAAAGAAUUCA
rnacentral:lncRNA from 1 species